rnacentral:rRNA from 1 species
CCCUUAGAUGUUCUGGGCUGCACGCGCGCUACACUGAUGCAUCCAACAAGUUUUCUCCCUUGUUCGGUAGGACUGGGUAAUCUUUUGAGAAUGCAUCGUGAUGGGGAUAGAUUAUUGCAAUUAUUAAUCUUCAACGAGGAAUUCCUAGUAAGCGCGAGUCAUCAGCUCGUGCUGAUUACGUCCCUGCCCUUUGUACACACCGCCCGUCGCUGCAACUGAUUGGGUGACCUGGUGAACAUCUUGGACCGGUCCACUCAAUUUCGAGAGGACUGGAAAAGGCCGUAAAUCAGGUACAUCUAGAAAUUGCAAAAGUCGUAACA